rnacentral:rRNA from 1 species
UACGUAGGUGACAAGCGUUGUCCGGAUUUACUGGGCGUAAAGGGCGCGUAGGCGGCCACCGCAAGUCGACUGUGAAAUCUCCGGGCUUAACCCGGAAAGGUCAGCCGAUACUGCGGGGCUAGAGUGCAGAAGGGGCAACUGGAAUUCUCGGUGUAGCGGUGAAAUGCGUAGAUAUCGAGAGGAACACCUGGGGCGAAGGCGGCCAGCUGGGCCGUCCCUGACGCUGAGGCGGCGAAGGCGUGGGGAGCGAACGGG